GAAGUAAAAUAGAAAAUAUAGGGAGAAAAAAGAAAAAAGGGUAGCUAACGCGGUGCAGACAUUCCGAAGCUGCAAAAGGGCUCAAACAAAGAUGAUGUCCGGCAAUUACACUUCCAUUGACAAUCAAAGUGUCACCGGAUCUGUUCCCGCAGUCGCAGAUCCACCUGGCCACGUUUCUGUCAAAUUUACAGAGUCGAAUCUGCAGACAUUUCCACCUUUAGGUCCUCAAGGAAAGAUCUCUGGU